GGACCUUUAGCUCAGCUGGUUAGAGCAAUCGGCUCAUAACCGAUCGGUCCUGGGUUCGAGUCCCCGAAGGUCCA
rfam:Hespellia stercorisuis DSM 15480 genome assembly, contig: EJ65DRAFT_scaffold00010.10